rnacentral:sRNA from 2 species
GGCCCUCUUUGUUGUAUGGGUCGGCGAACUCGACUGCGAGCCAGUUGAAUGAAUCAACGAUCAGGCCCACGUUUGGCCGGUUAGCUGCACGGACUACCUCCCAUGUGGAUGACCAAGUGUUCCGUAGUGCCCAUGAAAGGCCCUCAUACCCAAUCUUGAUCAUUGGGCCUCCAUCUUGUCUGGCAAACGCCGCUGCCAUAUCCCCAAGUUCUCGCAGGUCGUUCGCAACGGUUUUAAGCUCGAUCGUGCUAUUUUCCGCUCCGAUAUUCGAGACGAGGAAUAGCAUAUCCGUAUCGAAUGCCCGC